UAUUAUCGUUCUCACUUACACGCUCACUUUCACUUCACCUACACGUCACUUCACUUGUUUUUACCUAUUACCGUUGUCACCUAAAGUGAAGUGAUGAAAAUGAACACCGUGAAGUGAGAGUGACAGUGAGGUGAUGUUCGGAAUAACCAUGGCGUGUUAUUCAUAAUUGUCUGCUUCUGUCGAUUUGUUUUUUUAGCGGAAACUUUGUUUUUGUAUUGAAUUGUGCUCUGAUACCGACAGUGAAGAGGAUUAUUUGGUAAAAGCAAAAGUUCUUAUUUAUUUUACUGUAGAGCAAUUUCUUCCUAGCACAUCGCCAAGCUGUCCAGAAUGUACGGAGGAACCGGUGCCAAUCCGUUGUUCUGAACUCACAAUGUUUCCAUACAACAGUGAGUGUUUGGCCAGGACGAAAGAGAACUUCCUCGCCCUCGGGUCGGAAGGUCGGGAAGGUUCAGGAUCAAUCAGCAUCAAUGAAGACUUUAGUAAUAACAUUACCACCAGCUCGCUGCUAAAACAUAGUUAGCCAAGCAACGGCAGUAACAGCGACAGAAACCAGCAACAGAUAGAUUAAGCUGGUGGGGCUCCAAACAAAGUACCAGCAUGAUUAUCCACGUCUCCAAUCGACCACCGACUGCGACAAUCAAUGUGAAUGAAGAAACCCAGUGCAGCGGGACUUUUGGGCGUUAGCAGGAACCACUAAGUCAGGCAUUAAGAAAUCCGACAUGUAUGCGGAUCUCGAAGGUAGCAACGGUAUGGUAAAUUUGAACGCUAUGUCAACUAAGCUCCGUGGUAUGGUGGAUAUUACGUGUCCGUUUCCAGCGUAGUGUACAAGGUAGCAAUGGUCGUUCCCCCGAAGGAUGCAAUAAAGAUAGUACCAGCUCAAAAGGUGGUACCGAGCGUUAAUUCGACAAAAGCCUUUCCCGCACUGUCCGAAUCCGGUGGCAAGCCGGAUGGUCCCGUUAAACCUGCCCAGUGGAUUGUCGCUACUAAGGUGAAUUCGUCUUCGUUCUCACUUGGAGGUGGUGUCUCAGAUGCCACUGGUGGAACAGGGACAGUUUCAUCGAAAAAGAAACUCCGGCCUCCAACCUGAAGGAGGAAGGCAACUUUGUGAACUUGAAAGCUCCAACUGGAAAGAAAUCUGGCAGGGUGAGGAUAGCAGUGGCAACAACAAAGACAAGAACGACAGUAAUACUAGUGUGAUAUGAAAUAAUUGUCAUACUGCCAGCUUUCUUAAAUGGCUAAUAUUUAAACGUGUAUGUCUCCAAUAAAAUAAUCAAAGAAGUAGAUAGUAAUGUUAUGCCCGUAUGUUCGUAAAAAUAUUCAUUCGUUGCUUUUUAUCAAUCACAGCGUGAUCGUUUUGGUCAUCAUUACUACCAAUUGUUGCUCGCCCCAUUUCGAAGUCAAACUUCUGCUUUUUCUAUAACUUUUAUGGUUUUGGCAGUUCAACACAAUUUGCCGUUUGCUUUUCGAAGAAAGCUUUCCGGAAAUUUCGUUUGGUUGCUCGUCCUCCCUCACGCCUUGCUAAAUGACUUGUUCCAGGUUCUUCAAGAGCUGCAUUGUCAUGUGCUGCCUAACUUCAAGGUUGCUUGGAUCCUCGUUUUGUUCUUCGUUACAAGAGACUGUUGUACUGUGUGAUGAUGGCGUUCUAAAAACAGAAUCUAGAUUAGAAAGUGUUACUUAUGC